rnacentral:rRNA from 1 species
UACGUAGGGUGCAGGCGUUAAUCGGAAUUACUGGGCGUAAAGCGUGCGCAGGCGGUCUUUUAAGUCAGAUGUGAAAUCCCCGGGCUUAACCUGGGAACUGCGUUUGAAACUGGAAGGCUAGAGUGUGGCAGAGGGGGGGUGGAAUUCCACGUGUAGCAGUGAAAUGCGUAGAGAUGUGGAGGAACACCGAUGGCGAAGGCAGCCCCCUGGGCUAACACUGACGCUCAUGCACGAAAGCGUGGGGAGCAAACAGG